rnacentral:tRNA from 3 species
GCCAAGGUGGCGGAGCGGCUACGCAAUCGCCUGCAGAGCGAUCUCAUUCCGGUUCGAAUCCGGACCUUGGCU